AGACGUCUGGUUGCCUGCUGGCUGCAGCAAUGCGCUCAGAAAGGAAGUGUGGCUUUGAUUCGCUUCUCCAACAAUGCCAAGAUGUGAAAGUAAUGGGCAACGCGAGUGAAACAAGCGAGAAAUCGGUGGGAUGGGCCAACCACACGUUCAGACCCUUCUAGUGCGUAUUCUCAGCCGGAAUGUUUCGAAACGGAGGAUUACGUUAGUAGGAGGCUUUGGGCUUUACCCCAAGGUAAAAGGAGACUGAAGUCUGAAGCAGCAAGCUGCGCUGGCGAUUUAUACUAGACGAAGCCAUUGCAACGUGACAAUGUGAGAAAGUCAACAAAUGUAGAAGAGGAGGAAAGAAAGAAUAACAAAUGAAGGAGCGUGAAAGUAAGUUUGAACAUGCUUCUCUUGAUGUUGAUGUGGAUUACGUCGACAAUGCUGAAGAAUCUGAUCAGUGUCCUGGUGUUAGUCUUGGACUCCAGUACGAAACAUUCACAGAUUGUUGUUGGCUGCUUUGUAUAAAAUGGAAAUUCCAUGAGGUCACAAUUUAAACGUCAGAAGGCACUAUGAGACAUUAUAGAGUAUCUCAAGUAAAAGAAAGCCAUCAAUAAUUGUAUGGUUGUGAGAGUUGAUUGAAACUUCUGAAGAUAGUAAUCAAUUAUCAACAAUCCUCCCACCCAUCCUUUUACAGCAGUUUCCAACAUCCUCAUAAAUUAGAGUCGGUUUAAUUAAUUAAUUAAGAAAGAUUUCAUAAUCUUGUUUGCUCUGACCAUGGGUAAUUGACUAAUUCUCAAAUAUUCGUUUGUUUAAAAUGAAAAAGGUGACAAGAAGCCAGUUAGAUCUGGAUUUCUGAUAUCAAUUCAUGAUUCAAUUAAUUAGUGAGUAUGGAUGACAGUACAACUCAAGUUCUCUCCAACCCACUUCCAGCACACGGAGUCUUGUGAGUUGAUGAUUUCUACAUGACUUACCCUUCAUUUCUCACGCUUUCUUUCAGCCUUCUCUCCCCUUCUGUAUUUGUUGACUUUCUCACAUUGUCACGUUGC